rnacentral:lncRNA from 1 species
GUACGACAAGAUUGGGUGUAAUAUAAUUAUGCUCAAUUUUACUCUCUCAAUGCUAGCUGUACGAUAAUACGUUAGUCACCUACGAGUCGGAACUGCCUAUAGUGGUCUGCACGACAAGACUGUGCACCUAAUUGGAUCCAAUGUGAGCAUAUGGUGUGGGAGGUGACAUAAUAUACAGGCUUGUGCCAACUCUCUCUGGCUAAAUCGUAAUCACUCGGGGUGCAGGUUUAUGAGCUCAUCGUUUCUCAAUCACAUCUCAUAUAGACAACCAAACAUGUUCAUCACACUACUCAAUUCCUCAAAUAAACUUAUAUCUCAUUUAUUUCAUAUCAUAUAUUGUAUGGCUGCACCUAACAUUUCGUUAGGCUGCCUACGUACCCUUAACAGGGAUCAAGCCGUUAGUAGUUCACAUAAUCAAACAUAACUUACCUGAACUUACCUGUGCCUUCACAGCA